ACCAAGAGAUGAAUACGAGGGAUGAGUCAACACAACUCAUGCACGACUGCAAUAUGAAAUUACUCCUCAAAAUUUCAAUUUAUCAAUGCUGUGGCAGCGAAUGAAAAUCAUAUGAAGAUAUACAGCAGCAAACCGUCGGACAUUCUCUAUCCGUCAACUUCAGGGUUGAAAUUGUCAAUAAAAGAACUACGACCGACUAAAUUUCCAGUGCUAAAAUUUCUCUUUAAAAAGAACAUCGUUAAGUUAUUAGAAUACUCUGAGUAUCAACAAAAUUGUGUUCAAUGCUAAUAUUUUUUUCAACUUUCUCUUUAUCCUAAUGGUGAUCCAUGCAAACAAAAAAUAUAAGUUUGGUCAAAUAAUUGAAAUUCCGAAAUAUUUUACCUUCACGUUCAAAACAGAAACGAUUUAGUAACCUCUUUUCAUUUAAUCGUUUCGGUUAAGCAUUUUUGGAAAAUGUGAAAGUUGCAAAUAAAUGAAAUAAACUAUAUAAUCACAAUAGAUAAAUCGAGUAGAGCAUCGAUAUGCCUCCAAUAAUAGAUUAUGUCGUAACUAGUUGAUCAAAAAAUUUUCAUUAAUAUCCUCAUAAUUUUAACUCUGAUGUAUCCGAAUUGUAUCUAUGCCAUCAUAGUUAUUUGUACUUUUUAACUAUGCAGUAAAUUCAGUUCUCUUGAU